AUUUAACAAAAAAAAUCUGGAAAUCAGAAUGUUGCUAACUGUGGACAGAGGUCCCAAUCACCCAGAUUCAUUAUUCUUUGUUCAUUCUAAUGUUGAUACUGUGUUUCUCCCUCAGGAAGGCCCUAGCUUUCUUCAGCCCUUGGGUCAGGGUAUAACUGAAGCAUUUGAACAUAAUCAAGCAUAUGUUUGACCACUUUGCUGACUGUAUUGAAAAAACCCUCACCUUACUCUGAAAGAAGCAUGGCAACAGUACAAUAUUGCCGAUGCUUUGGUAGUGAUAAAAGAGGUGAUGGGUGAUAUAAAAUCAGCCACUCUUAAGCUUGCUGGAAACUGUGGGAGGAUGUGUGAAUGAUGCAUAUUUCCCUAGAGCUAAUGAAGAAGUUAAAAAAAAUCUUAGUGUCUGCAAAACAGGCUGUACAUCCUUUUGAAAUCCCAGAGAUCUUCAGUCUCCCUGUGGAUUAAGGAGAUGUGCAGUAUUUAAAGUGGCUUCAGGAAGGCAUGGAAGAGGACUGAGUGGGGAAAGCUUUUUGUGCAUGCUGCUGGCUACCUCCAGCGGCUGCCUCCAGCCUCCAUCAGCUGCACUCUGGGGAAGAGGAGGCUGCCUUCUACCUCCCAGCAUCUCUGGAUUUCAUGUUCCUGUCAGCACAGAGGAGCUAAAUGGCCUGUAGAGGCUGAAGGUCUGAGGCUCCUAAAGCUGGAAGAAAAGGCUGGGCCAGUCAGGCCAAGCAAGAACACAGUGUAACUUGUCUCUGAGUGCUUCAUGGUUAAGGGGGCUAAGCAGGCACAAGGGCAUGAGGAUGGUUAUAUGUACAGACUGAGGGGAAGAAGCAGUGAAGAUGAGACUUGCCAUCUUCUUGAGUCAGUAGGCCUGCCUCAGGUGCCUAGGAUGUAAUUGCUCUGCUGCUUCUCAUGGGGAGGAGUGGCCCUCAUGACCUUGUUUACCUGGAAGAGUGUGGGAUGAAUGCCUCCUCCUAUGGGGACUCGCAAGUGCUUUAGCAAAAGGAUAAAUUGCUAAUUGUGGCAUUUCGUGGAUCAGCAGGAUUAUUUCUCCUUGCUAAAGAGGAUUUUGUUGGUCCUGAAUUCUGAGGAGGUGGGACUAGGAAUGGGCUCCAUGAGCCUGUGUAUGACUCAGGGAAUAUUAGGACUUUGGCACAGCCUCAUGGGUUGGGAGUAAGUCUUGGCUCUUCCCUAGCCUGAAUGACAGACAUCAGAUCAUUCUGGUGCUUUGUCCAUGAAGAUGUAGAUUCUGAGCCCACCCAACUAAUCUUUUCACUUGAGCACAGAAACAGCCCCGGGAAUCGGACAGACCCGUGUCUUUCAGGUUUGCUUCACAGAGCCCCAGGGGUUGACAAUAGGUGCCUUGGAGACUGCCUGCAUGGGGAUUUUUAAAAAGCUUUCUUUGUUAAAGGUUUGUAAACCACUCCUCUGAGCCUGUUUUCAUUUUAUAGAUUAUUCAGGGAACUGAACUGCACAGAGAUCCAGAAAGUGGGUAGUGCAGGCUGUAGUGCUGAUAACUACUGUACUACUUGGAUCUUUGUGCUCCCAAAUACCAAAUGGAAGAGGAUCUCUGAGAGUCCUUUGCAAAGAUCUUGUAGGGACUUUAGGCUGGGGCCUUCGGAAAAUUCCAGAGGAUUCCAAUGGAGAUUUUGAGGGACUGACUCAGAAGAACAAAGAGAAUGAUAAUGGUGAUGUCCCUGCUUUUUACAACAGAUCAUGUUCUGAUAUAUAUGCAAAUCUGUGUAAAGUAAACCCUACCUAAAAUGUACUGGGGACCCAAGAUGGACUGCCUGUAUUGCUUCCAGGAUAAAGUCCAAUUUCUAGCUCUGGUUUUUAUAACCUUGCUUCAGCUCACCUUUUCCGUCAUCAUCCCCUCCAUCUCCUCUCCCACGCUGGGAAAUGGAUGGCUGCACUAUACUGUGUGAUGUUAUUGCUAUGUUCAUGCCAUCCCCUCUGCCUGGAAUGCCCUUCUGCAUGAAUGCCUGUGAAAUGUUGUUGCUCCUUUGUAUGGCCUGGCUUCCGUGGUUGGCAGGAAUCUCUUCUUUCGUGGUAUUCCUGUCAUCUUUGUGCAUCACAGUCAGCUUUGUAUUCCUAGCUUGUAAGCUACUUGAGGAUAGGGGCAUGUCUGAAUCUAUUUAAUCUCUUGCACCUGUUUGGCAAAUUGAUGUUUUAAGUAUUUAAAUAACUAAAGCUCUCUC
rnacentral:lncRNA from 1 species